rfam:Kazachstania africana CBS 2517 chromosome 6, complete genome
GGGCGUGUGGCCUAGUGGUAUGAUUCUCGCUUUGGGCGAUUCUUAAGAAACACUUGGGAAAUAAAUCACAAACAUGCGAGAGGCCCUGGGUUCAAUUCCCAGCUCGCCCC